UAGGGAAUUUUCGUCAAUGGGCGCAAGCCUGAACGAGCAAUGCCGCGUGAACGAGGAAGGUCUUCGGAUCGUUAAAGUUCUGUUGAAGGGGAAAAAGAGCGGAGAGAGGAAAUGGUCUCCGAUUGAUAUUACCCUUCGAGGAAGUCACGGCUAACUACGUGCC
rnacentral:rRNA from 1 species